ensembl:lncRNA
AUGUGCUGCGCAUCAAUUCAUCUCCUCAUUGGUGCCUUAUUUGUCUUUGCUGUUGAAAAUGAGGCAACAACAACGAUAAGCAGCACAGAAAUCAUCACUGCUCCAGUUUCAAUGUCUGUUGACAACACCACCCUAAUCAAUAAAACACCAGAGGGCUUUCUAGACAACUUUACCACUCCAAACUCCACGGUCGACCUGUCAAACACAACGGAUGGGAAUACUACGUCAGAUGGACAAUCAGAAUCACCUACUCCUCCACCCUCAGAACAUCCGCAGACCAAGUAUUACACCACAGACAAACCUCUGAAAACUGUUGCGCAAUCAAGCACAAAAAAUAUGAUCAAAAGCACAACAAGCAAAAAAACCACAACUCAAGGACAAAACAAUGGCAAAAACAAUCUAGCAAUAGCUUACACAGUUAUCCUGCUGAUUGUUGUAUUGUGCCUCUCUGGGAUAGUAGUUUACUGUUGCCUUCAAAAGAACUCCAGGAAGUACUCUGUGGACUUACAUCCCAAACAAGAUGCUCAGAUCCCACUCAGCACAAUGGAUAUAGAGGUGUUUGACACCACAUCAGUCAAAGAUAUACAAACAUUCACUCCUGUCGAGUCCACCGAGCCACUUAAAGACCCUGCGCCCGUGAAGGAAGCUGAAAAACCUGAGGGAGGGAAAGAAUCAGCUGAUGUUAAACAAGAAAUCCAACAGAAUUUAUCCAGCACUCAGGCCACAGUGAACACAAAGGAUCAAACGGAUGGGCUGGCCGCAGUGGAUCUGACUGAUGGAGAACUGACGAUCUCCACCAAAACCUCAAUGGAAUCCCUAGAUGAUGUUCUCAAUGAAAACAACUGCAACAAUACAGGAGCUGAAGUCAACGGCAAUGGGCAUGAAUUCACUAAAAUCUCUAUUGAUAUUUAACUUCUAAAAUAAAUCAGCCUCUUCCCAACAUUUAUCAUUGAUCUCUGAACCAGACUGAUGGAAACUGGAAGCAAAAGCUGAACUAAGUUGUAAACUAUGCAAGUCAUUGUUAGAACAAUGCUGUUUGCAUAUAUAUACAGUACUAAGAAAAUUCUAACAGGGCUCAAUGUACUGUAUUGAUGUCUUUCUUCAUAUAUUUUUUUCUUGGGUUUUACUCACUGAAUUGCUUUGUGUUGUUUAAGGGUUAAAUGAAAUAUACUGUGCAUAAACUUAACGGAGAAACUUAAUGGAGUUAGUACUUUUAUAUUUAGAAUAAUAUUACCUAUUAUGUUUGAUUUUAAUAUUGUAACUAUUUUCAACCUAAUUUAUGAAAAUCUAAUCUAAUCUUAAAUGGAUAAUUUUGUAAAUUUUCAACCAGCUUUGUAUUGUUGUCGACUGUAUAUGUAAAUGAACAAUGUGUACUCUUUCUCCGUGUUACUGGACCCAGAUAUCCCCAUUUAUUUUCCAAGCAAAAGGAUGCUUGGAAGUUGGAUCAACAGAGCAUAUAUAUCAAUAUAUAAAAUAUCUAAAAAUCGAAAGUGUAUUAUGAGUGUUGACGUUUAUGACAAAAGGGAUAUUUGUACAUUGUACAUUGAAUACAUUUUUUAUUAAAUUAGAUAUGUGUAAAGUUAUCUCAUCAGAGUGCUAUAGAGCUCAGGGUUCCUCUGUUGUAUGUAUACUGUAUGUAUGUUAUAAUGCCUAUAACUGUUAACUGUAAAACUUAGACAUUCAAAUAAUACAACUUUCACCACUUUACGUUUUUUUUUUUAAUUCUAAGUUUUAUAUUUUUUUAUUUAUUUUAAUCUCUUUGUAGUGCUUUCACUGUUGCAAAUGUCAAUUGGACAUUAUGUUUUGGGUUAAAGUUUUAUUCAUUUGUUUUAAUAUGUGUUUUCUUAAACUGUAAUUUACACAGUCUUAAGAAGGAUAUUGGCCUAUUGUUGGGUGCAACAUGGGUUUAUAAUUAGUUGCUUCUACCUUCUGAUAUCAUACUGUCAACUAAUACAAUAAAAAUGUAUCUUGAUUAUAACUAUCA